AGGUAAAAGAGCAGAACAAAUUAAAGUAAUAUCUUUUAAACAUUUAAAUUGAACUUUUUGCAUGUCAUAUUUAGUCAUCUUUUUGCAGAUUUGCCAUUUAAUGGAUUAUGAAAAAUUAUGUGCGUGGUGAAGUAUGUUUCAUUUACAAAUGUUGAUCCAUUCUUUUUGAGAUGCCAAGAUUAAACAAAAAGGUUAAUUCGAUGUUGCUGCAGGACUUGGAAAAUUGAUACUGUUUUAUCUCAAAAGUGCCAUUUCAUGAUAAUAAUGAGCAGGGUUUAAGCUAGGAUUUUGAGAGCUUGUCACUUUUCAAUCACUGAUAAUGAGAAGUGUGAAUGAAAUAUUUCAGAGUUAAGUUAUAGGAAUUAAAUUUUAAAUUAUUAUUAAAAUUAGAUUAUAUGCAUUUCUAAUUAUAUCAUUUGUUUUAACUUUUAAGCAUAUUUUUCUAAUUUUUUUUUUCAGGAUGAAAAUAGCAAACAGGAAGUUUUCAAGAGAUUGUUACCUCAAAUCUGAAGUGGUUCAAUGCAAAACACGAGCUUCAUUCAAUGCUGGCCCUGCAUGGUAUUCACAAAGUGCCUUUAUUAGAUGAAAACUUAAUGGGAAUAAAUUUACCUAAUGUUUAGGUAAUGUUUGAUGCAUCCAAUUGUGGAUAUUUUGAAAAAAAGGUGAAAAUGAAGGAAGGACAUCAACACACACAAACUUUUUUAUUUAUUGAUUAUAAAAUUGAGGAUUAUAGAGUCAAAUAUAAUUUUAAAAUAUGAAAUGUGUGAAAGGCAAAGAGAGAGUCAGCUAGGUUUUGUGAAGAUUAUUUUUUCUCAUUUUAAAGCUCACUGCUUAUCUUCAAUGUUUGA